CAAUAGCGUAUAUUAAAGCUGUUGCGGCUAAAAAGCUCGUAGUUGGAUUUCUGUCAAGGACAACUGGUCCGCCCCUCGGGUGAGCACAUAGUUUGGUCUUGGCAUCUUGUUGGAAACUGUUGCUGCACUUGGUUGUGUGGCGCAGUGUCCAGCACUUUCACUUUGAGGAAAUUGGAGUGUUUCAAGCAGGCACAUGCCUUUGGACACAGUAGCAUGGAAUAAUUAGAUUGGGCUUUUGCUCCAACUUGUCGGUUUCUGGAGCUGAGGUGAGAAUUAAUGGGGAUUGUUGGGGGCAUCCGAAUUUAGCCGUCAGAGGUGAAAUUCUUGGAUCUGCUAAAGACGGACAACUGCGAAAGCAUUUGCCAAGGAUGUUUUCAUUAA
rnacentral:rRNA from 1 species